AGGUCCCUAUCUAUAAGUCAAGAGUUCGAAACUCAGGCCGAGUAAAUAAUUUCUGCUUAUUUUAUUUUAAAAGAUGUUUUAUUAUUCAGAGACGACAUUUUUAAACCAGUAUUUAAAACUUAAAGUUCAAUACUUUCGUAGACAACGCACAAUUUCCUUGCCGUUUUUAUUUAUUCAUAAAGUGGGUAGUAGGAAAACUACUAUCAAUUGACUCGUCGUCGACGGAAUCUUAAUCAUAGCUCACUUGCUCUAGCCAUCUUAGUUGCGGUAACUGUGUAGUUGUGAAUUUCGUUACAAAUCAAUAUGCAUUUAACUACCUUUGUAAAAGCAAAAAUCAUUGCUAUGAAGAUAAUGUUUCCAUUCGAGAAAUAACUCGACGUCUUCAAAUAUCUAGUAUAUUUCCAGUGUUCAACUAUGAAUAAGACGAUUUCAACAAACUAGUGACAGCGAAAGAAAUCGGCUAGGACCUGUGCCACAUAUGUUUAUGCCUUCUUCGUCGCGUCACCGAAAAAUAGUUGCCAGACAUGAAGACGAUCAGUUUGAU